rnacentral:rRNA from 1 species
GACGAACGCUGGCGGCGUGCUUAACACAUGCAAGUCGAACGGUAAGGCCCUUCGGGGUACACGAGUGGCGAACGGGUGAGUAACACGUGGGUGAUCUGCCCUGCACUUCGGGAUAAGCCUGGGAAACUGGGUCUAAUACCGGAUAGGACCCUGGGAUGCAUGUCCUGGGGUGGAAAGCUUUUGCGGUGUGGGAUGGGCCCGCGGCCUAUCAGCUUGUUGGUGGGGUGAUGGCCUACCAAGGCGACGACGGGUAGCCGGCCUGAGAGGGUGACCGGCCAAACUGGGACUGGGAUACGGCCCAGACUCCUACGGGAGGCAGCAGGGGGGAAUAUUGCACAAUGGGCGCAAGCCUGAUGCAGCGACGCCGCGUGAGGGAUGACGGCCUUCGGGUUGUAAACCUCUUUCAGCACCGACGAAGCGCAAGUGACGGUAGGUGCAGAAGAAGGACCGGCCAACUACGUGCCAGCAGCCGCCGUAA